UAUCGUAUCCGACAGGGGUCCUCAAUUUGUCUCUCGGAUUUGGAGGGGCUUUUGUGCUGAGAUGGGGAUCUCCUUGUCAUUUACGUCCUCCUAUCAUCCACAGUCUAAUGGAGCUGCCGAACGGGCAAAAUCAAUCUGUGGAGUUAUAUUUACGCUGCUUCACGAAUGCGCACCAGGACAACUGGUCUCACCUCCUUCCCUGGGCUGAAUUCGCCAGGAACACCAUGAC